CGCGAAUGGCUCAUUACAACAGCUAUAGUUUAUUGGAUCUUCUCUCAUACUUAGAUACCUGUGGUAAUUCUAGAGCUAAUACACGCACGAAAGCCCCGACUUCGGGAGGGGCGCAUUUAUUAGAACAAAACCAAUUGGGCUUGCCCGUCGUUUGGUGAAUCUGAAUAACUCAGUUGAUCGCACAGUCCUCGAACUGGCGACGUAUCUUUCAAGUGUCUGCCUUAUCAACUUUCGAUGGUAGUUUACAUGACUACCAUGGUUGUAACGGGUAACGGAGAAUAAGGGUUCGACUCCGGAGAGGGAGCCUGAGAAACGGCUACCAUAUCCAAGGAAGGCAGCAGGC
rnacentral:rRNA from 1 species